UACAGAGGUCCCCAAGCGUUGUUCGGACUUACUGAGCGUAAAGGGUGCGUAGGCGGCCAAAAAGUCUGAUGUGAAAUCUUGGAGCCCAACUCCGAAACUGCAUUGGAUACUGGUUGGCUUGAGGAGUGGAGGGGAGACUGGAAUUCUCGGUGUAGCAGUGAAAUGCGUAGAUAUCGAGAGGAACACCAGUGGCGAAGGCGAGUCUCUAGACACUUCCUGACGCUGAGGCACGAAAGCCAAGGGAGCAAACGGGAUUAGAAACCCGGGUAGU
rnacentral:rRNA from 1 species